AGAGUUUGAUCAUGGCUCAGGACGAACGCUGGCGGCGUGCCUAAUACAUGCAAGUCGAACGCAUCCCGCUGAAUUGAAGUGCUUGCACUGAUUUUCAGCAUUGGAUGAGUGGCGAACUGGUGAGUAACACGUGGGUAACUUGCCCAGAAGCGGGGGAUAACACUUGGAAACAGGUGCUAAUACCGCAUAACAACUGAAACCGCAUGGUUUCAGUUUGAAAGAUGGUUUCGGCUAUCACUUCUGGAUGGACCCGCGGCGUAUUAGCUAGUUGGUGGAGUAAUGGUUCACCAAGGCAAUGAUACGUAGCCGACCUGAGAGGGUAAUCGGCCACAUUGGGACUGAGACACGGCCCAAACUCCUACGGGAGGCAGCAGUAGGGAAUCUUCCACAAUGGACGAAAGUCUGAUGGAGCAACGCCGCGUGAGUGAAGAAGGGUUUCGGCUCGUAAAACUCUGUUGUUGAAGAAGAACACACUUGAGAGUAACUGUUCAGGUGUUGACGGUAUCUAACCAGAAAGCCACGGCUAACUACGUGCCAGCAGCCGCGGUAAUACGUAGGUGGCAAGCGUUGUCCGGAUUUAUUGGGCGUAAAGCGAGCGCAGGCGGUUUCUUAAGUCUGAUGUGAAAGCCUUCGGCUUAACCGGAGAAGUGCAUCGGAAACUGGGAGACUUGAGUGCAGAAGAGGACAGUGGAACUCCAUGUGUAGCGGUGAAAUGCGUAGAUAUAUGGAAGAACACCAGUGGCGAAGGCGGCUGUCUGGUCUGUAACUGACGCUGAGGCUC
rnacentral:rRNA from 1 species